AAUACAGACCAGUUACUUGAUCUAUUUACUUCGGCUGAAAGCAAAAAGGGAGCCAGUAGAUCCAAAAGAACUGAUGAAAAAUCUGACGUGGACUCAAUCUUGCCACGUAGUGGAAAGGGAUUGAAAGCCAUUCUCGGAGGAUUGGAGGAGCUUUGGGAUCAGUCACAAUACACAGAGGAGUAUAACCUGGGUCAGUUCUUAGCUAAGCUUAAUGGAUAAUUAUGUAAGCUUCUUCGCGCCAUUGCAUUGGAGAGUAUGCUGAACAAGGUAGAGUGAUGAGAUGAUGCAGCUGUGCGUUCCAUGUACAAAGUGUACAUUCUUUGAGUCUGCCCACAAUUUUGACGAUUAGAGGUAGUUCUCUUUUUCCUAUUUAUAUUGUUUUCGUUUUAAUUUUUCGUGAUAAUUCUAGACAGUGAAUUACAUUUUUGGACUCCAUUGACAUAGAAAUAGUUUAUAGCGGAGCACAGUUGUGGGAUGGCACAGAUGAUGCCCCUCUUAGGAAAGCUG
rnacentral:misc_RNA from 1 species